UACGUAGGGGGCUAGCGUUACCCGGAAUUACUGGGCGUAAAGGGUGCGUAGGUGGUUUCUUAAGUCAGAGGUGAAAGGCUACGGCUCAACCGUAGUAAGCCUUUGAAACUGGGAAACUUGAGUGCAGGAGAGGUUGGCGGAAUUCCUAGUGUAGCGGUGAAAUGCGUAGAUAUUAGGAGGAACACCAGUGGCGAAGGCGGCCAACUGGGCUUUUACUGACGCUGAGGCUCGAAAGCGUGGGGAGCAAACAGGAUUAGAUACCCGGGUAGUCCCUGAGCGGGCUGGCAAGG
rnacentral:rRNA from 1 species